CGAGCCCCCUGCCGGCUGCGCCCCGCGCCGCGCGCACCCCCGGCGGGUCGGCAGCCCCCGCGCGGCCCACGUCCCCAGAGGGCGUCCAGCCAGCCCCGCUCCUCCUCCUCCUCGCGGCCUCGCCCGUCCCUCUCCGCUUCCAGAACUCGGCAGCUUCCGAAGAGGCGCGUUCCGUCCAUCACCUCCCAGAUCUCCCAGAUCCUCGCCGCCUCCUCUUCGAGCCUUCCAGGGGCAGCAAAUUCAGAUGCCUUCAGGGGCCAGACAAUGUGAGUCAAAUGGGUGUAAGACAGUAGAGGAGAUGGAGACAGAGACAGAGAUGAACACCUAAAGGUAUUCAGGUUCAAAACAUUAAAGCAGGCCCCUUCCCCAAAAGGCUCAGCAGAGUCCUCGAAUGAUCCAUCAAUUCCACUUCUAGGUGUAUAUUCCAAAGAAUUGAAAACAGGGACUCAAACAAGUAUUUGUACACCAAUGAUCACUGCGGGACUCUUCACAAUAGCCAAAGGUGGACACAGUCCAAACUGCCCAUCAACUGAUGCAUGGAGAAACACACUGUGGUAUAUCAAUGGCGUGGAAUAUUAUUCAACCAUAAAAAGGAAUGAACUUCUGACACCUGUUCCAGCGGGGAUGAACCUCCAAAAAAAUCACGCGAACUGUAAUAAACCAGACGCAGAGGACCCCCUGUGGUAUCAUUCCCUUUGUGUGAAGUAGGUAAAUCCCAAGAGAUGCAAAGCAGAUUAGUGCCAGAGGCUGUAGGGAAGGAGAAAUGAGUGACGCUUAAAGCGCAUGGAGUUUCCUUUGGCGAUGAGGAAAUGUUUUGGAACAUGAAAGGUGGUGAUUGCACAAUAUCGUGAGUGUACUAAGUGCCAUUGAAUUAGACGCUUUAAAAUGGUUAAUUUUACGUUAUGUGAAUUGAACCACAAAUAAGAAAAGAAAGCGUGUCGUGGAAGUCUCGUGGAUCAGAUUUCGCUCACGGGUCACCAGUUUGCAAUCCCUUGGAUUCUGUGCCAUCCUUACCCGUUUACUACCGAUGGGAGUGCCAAAUUUAAGAGGAUUCAUCUCUAAGAAAACUCAUCGCUACUACUCUGGAUGUUAGCUCUCGAGGAGCCCCCAGUCUGUGACUCUGGAUGCCUGGGUGGCU